rnacentral:lncRNA from 1 species
ACUUUGGGAAGGGAGCGGUGGUUGGGAACAAGUUGUUCUCCAUGUGUGAACACAGGCUCAGAGAAGCCCUGCUGUCACUGCAGCACGCUUAUUUUGAAGAUAAGUGUGAAUCAGCAUGCUGUUCUUAUAGGCAAAGAAGUAGCAGCAAGAAAUCUCAGACUAUGCAAGAGGAUCAUGACCUGGCAAUCAGAGGAUUUCUGCACUGAUCCAAGCCAGAAAAAAUGCUACUUUGCUUGGUGGACACUUCCCAUGGAUUUCUUACACAUCCACAUCCAAGGAGUGGAUGUAUCUGUCACGCACACCAAGCUGCUAACACCCGUGUGGUCUUGGUAGGAAAAUGCAAAGGAAAUCCAAAAGUGCUGGCCUUGACUCCCUUCCUCACUGUCCUUCCAUACCUGCUCUGCCUUGGCUUUGUGCCCUGCUCCCUCCCUAGCGCUCUUAUCUCCCACUGAACCUGAGAAACAAAUGCUUGUGGAAGCUAAGUCGUCCCCAGCUGUUCGCUCUGUUCCUGAGCUCCCUUCCUCCCUCUCAUUCCUUUUGGAUCUGUUUCUAAACUUUUUGGGGCAGCAACUACUUUUCUGCAUGCAACAUCAAUGGACACUGUUCUUGGCUGGCCUCAAGGCACAACUGGAAUAAAUGUGAAUAACAACAACAGUGACAAAAAGUAUCAACAUUGGUAAUGACAGUAAUAAUUAUUAUUGUUAUUAUUAUACAGUCAACCAGACUGACUUGGUAAUUAUUUGCAUAAUUUGUAUAUAUAAUUUGCAUAAGCAGAAUAAAAGACUGUUCUCAUAU